rnacentral:lncRNA from 1 species
ACGCCACCUCCCAUGAGGACGCCCGCAGCUCCUUCCCGUUGAAGAUGGGUGUCCAGAUGAAGCAGGAUCGAAAUCCUAUGGCCGACGUUGAGUACCGCAUCUACGUGGGGGGAGGAACGUCGUGGCAGAAUUCCGGACGUGGAUCCACAUGCCAAACAGUGGCAGGUAUGGCCUCCGCAUCGGACAUUCACAGACGGAACAGUGCACCCAUGCCGCGAUUAAGUUCGGCGGAGACGGAACAGUGCACCCAUGCCGCGAUUAAGUUCCGCGGAGACGGAACCGCGAUUCCGUCGGGAACUCACGAUGGGUUCCGCGGAACUGCAACCAAUUCCGUCCGCGGAAUAAAAAUCGCGAAAUGGAACCGAGAUUCCGCGGAUGCGGCUCCGAUCGUGG